ACUCAAAGGAAUAGACGGGGACCCGCACAAGCGGUGGAGCAUGGGGUUUAAUUCGACGAUACGCGAAGAACCUUACCGAGGCUUGACAUCCCUGGAAUCCGGCAGAAAUGCUGGAGUGCCUUCGGGAGCCAGGUGACAGGUGCUGCAUGGCCGUCGUCAGCUCGUGUCGUGAGAUGUUGGGUUAAGUCCCGCAACGAGCGCAACCCUUGUCGUGUGUUGAAUUUUUCACACGAGACUGCCCGGGCCAACCGGGAGGAAGGUGGGGAUGACGUCAGGUCAGCAUGGCCCUUACGCCUCGGGCCACACCCGUGCUACAAUGGCCGGUACAACGCGUUGCCAAGCCGCAAGGUGGAGCUAAUCGCAUCAAAACCGGUCUCAGUUCGGAUAGAGGGCUGCAACUCGCCCUCUUGAAGCUGGAAUCGCUAGUAACCGUAGGUCAGCAUACUACGGUGAAUACGUUCCCGGGUCUUGUACACACCGCCCGU
rnacentral:rRNA from 1 species